GCGCCGGGGCCCCCCCUCCACGCCUGGCCGAUCCUCUUCCUAUCACCCUCCAGCCUUGGCCUCCAUCUGGGGGUUCUGGGCACCGCGAUCGGGCCGACAUACACCCGCACCUAGUGGUGGGGCUCUGGGGGCUCCGGCGAGAGGGGGUCGUGGGGAUUGGUUCUGGAUCUUGCCGGAGGUCAUGGGGGGAGGGGUGGGGUUGCCUCAGUUGAUGGCCCCAGGGACCCUCGCCCUUCCCGGCUGCCCCUGCCCGGCCUCUCUCUGGAGGGAGGGACUGGCCCUGUGUCCGGCCUGGGUUGCCCCAGAGGAACGAGAGACCCAGCAUAAGCUGUGGCCCCGCCUCCCUUUUCUGUGCCAGCAGGACUUGGAGCUAAGGACAUCUAGGUCCUGGGUUCCCUCUGAUGGAGAGGGGGUGUUCCACCUUGAAUAGACAGAAUGAGCUGAGGUUCUAGGAUAUCAGUUUCACUUUCUGAAUCUCGAGGUGCAUCUGGCCUUGAGGGGACUAUGAUGGAGGCACAGAGAGCCGCUCCCCUUUGGAUCAGUCAGGAAUUGAGGUCACACUAAUGGCCCCUCUUUCUAUUUGAGCUACAUUUGGAGGUGUUGUAGGGACAGCUCUGUAGCUGAACAUGGUAAGACUCAGGGGAAACAUAAGUCUCCUCCAGCUGAGCCCCUGCUGAGCCCCACCCCUCCCAAAAUGCAGACUGGGUUCCUGACAGGCUUACUGCUCCAGUGUGGGGGUUUAAAAGGUGACAGUAAGAACUUUGUUAUUUAGGGCCUGUUGCCACUUUGUUCGCAUUCCAAACAGACUUCAGCAGAAGGGACUGGGUUAGCUCUCCAAGAAGGCUCCCUAGCAAUAGGGGCUGAAUGAUUUGGGAACAUGGGGCAGGGUGAGGAGUUGGGUAGCAUAGGGAGUAUUCCUACCCAUGUGAUCUGAGGGAGGUGGCAAGAAAGACCUCCAUCUGUGUGGGCUUUUCCCUUCCUGACUUCUCUUACCUGUGCCCUAGGCUUUCUUGGGAGCCUCAGAGCUGGGGAAGAGAAGAGGAAAGUUAGCGUGUUCAAGUUCCAUCCUCUCCUUUGGGAGAGGCUGGGGAUGCAGUUCUGCAGAAGAGAAGGAGAGGAAAUGGAAGAGGAGUUUUUGUUUUGUUUCUGGGCUUCUGGUGGAGUGGGGGUGAGGGGGGUAUGGUAACAUUUGUCAUCAUAACCCUUUGCUCUCUACUCUCCCCCUUCCCCCUAGUCCUGGUCAGCUGAGUGUGGAAACAGAGGGAUUUCUGCUGCUCUCAUUGUCCAUGGGCUUUCCAGCAGGUCACACCACCUACAAGUAGGGAGCAGGGACAGUGAGAGCGAGCCUGCAUGCCAAUUCUAAGCUCUUCAGGAUCAAAUGUCGUUCGUCCUGUCCAGAAUGGCAGCCUGUGGAGGCACCUGCAAGAACAAAGUGACUGUCUCCAAGCCUGUGUGGGACUUCCUGAGCAAGGAGACCCCAGCCCGGCUGGCCCGGCUUCGGGAGGAACACCGUGUGUCCAUCCUCAUAGAUGGCGAGACUUCUGACAUCUAUGUCCUCCAGCUUUCCCCACAGGGCCCUCCCCCGGCCCCUCCCAAUGGGCUCUACCUGGCCCGGAAGGCUCUCAAGGGGCUGCUAAAAGAGGCCGAGAAAGAGCUGAAGAAAGCUCAGAGGCAGGGCGAGCUUAUGGGCUGCCUGGCUUUGGGGGGUGGUGGGGAG